rnacentral:rRNA from 1 species
GAUGAACGCUGGCGGCGUGCCUAAUACAUGCAAGUCGAGCGAGAAGCUUGGAAAUGACGCUUCGGUUGAUUUUCCAAGCGGACAGCGGCGGACGGGUGAGUAACGCGUAGGCAACCUGCCCCUGACAGAGGGAUAGCCAUUGGAAACGAUGAUUAAAACCUCAUGACACCGUAGUAGCACAUGCUACAUCGGUCAAAGAUUUAUCGGUCAGGGAUGGGCCUGCGUCUGAUUAACUGGUUGGUGAGGUAACGGCUCACCAAGGUGACGAUCAGUAGCCGACCUGAGAGGGUGAUCGGCCACAUUGGAACUGAGACACGGUCCAAACUUCUACGGAAGGCAGCAGUAGGGAAUCUUGCACAAUGGGCGAAAGCCUGAUGCAGCAACGCCGCGUGAAGGAUGAAGGCCUUCGGGGUUGUAAAACUU